AGGGCGUGUGAGCCAGGGGGGACAGGGACACUCCCCGGCCAAGGGCGGAAGCAAGGCUGAGCCUCCCCUCCAAGCUCAUCUCAUCCUGUGACAGUCACAGAGCCACAGAGGAGCUGCCGCUCAAGCAUCUUCACCAGGGGACUCUGCGGCGUCUCCUUGCCCACGCCCACCCCUGCGCCCAGUGGUGGUGGAGUGAAACGAGACACUGUGUCUUUAAUUCAUAAAUAUCCCAGAUUGUUCCAUUGUCACUCUUCAAAUGAUGACUCUUUAACUUUAUCAGAUAGCCAAUCUGUUCACCUGGGCCCCGUCUGACCACAUACUGUCCCCAGGGCGAGCAGGGCAGGCAGGUCCGCACACACCUGGAAGAGGACACGGGAGGAUGGAAACCGCGUUCUCAGAGGUGCCGUGACCCACUUGCCAACCAGAGCCCAGCAGGGUGUCAUUUCCCAGACACCUCUGGUGUCUCAUUUCCUGUGGGGGUCCUGGCCACGCCAGACCUUCUCCUGCUGGGUGUUGAAUAAAUUCUGGAAGCUUCCAGUUCCUCCCUUGGGCUCUUCAUUGUGUGUCCUCCCUCUGGCUGAACCCAGGGGAAGUCAGAGUCCAAGGGAGUCCUGGCGACACCCUCCUUCGGGCCAGACUUCUGCGUCAUCCCUACAGGUCAGCCUCCAGAGCCCAG
rnacentral:lncRNA from 1 species